GCUAAAUACCUAAUAAAAAAUGGAAAAAAAAAAUAAAAGAGAUUUUAGCUAUUAAAAAAAAAAAAGGAAUGAUGAAGACCUACUUAGCUCACACUUUCUCACUGGCAAUAAUGCUGCCUUUACAAUUUUCUUAUUGCCUGUGCUACUCUGAAAUCUGAUGAGUUUGGACAGGGAGAACAGGAACUCAGGUCGAUGUGUUGUGAUGGUAGCAUUUCCUGCUGAGUUCCAUAUUGGUGAUCCCAUGGAAAGUGUUGGUUACUUGGCAUCUGGGAAUCACAGCAGCUAUCAGCCAGCAUAGCAGAGAGCAUCAGGUGAAAACACCGGUGCCCCCUGUAUAUGCUGAGAAAACAUGCGUGCUGGCUUUAGAAUGUUGGGCCAAGCAGGAUUAUUGUAUUUACACUAUUCAGUGGCCAUUCAGAGUGUUAGGACCAAGUUUGAUCAUUAGUUUCCUGUCUGCAAUAAUACCUGGAAGACCAGAGGAACUGAGACACUUGGUUAAUGAAUAAAUCCAGUACUGUGGACAAUCCCUGUCAUAUGCAGAAAGGAACCUUGCUCCUUAUAACCCAAACACUCAUUUUUCUGGUUGCAUUUUAAAAAAAUAUAAAAAACCAGUUUAUUAUUUUUACAAAUUUCUACUGCAUAUGAUGCUAGCUUGUUUGGCAUUCUAUACAGAUUUUUAAUUAAAAAAUAACGAUAGCACUUUCUCCUUUCUCUUCUCUCUCUCUCCAGGUCCUCCCAAAUCUCUUCUUUCUAAGUUCUUCCAUGUUCCCUUAAAUUGAUAGUCUCUGUUUUUCUUUGAAUAGUAGUUUGUGUGUGUGUAUGUGAUGACAUACAUAUGUAUCAUAUGUGCAGACACAUAUACCAUAUUUAUACAUGUAUUGUACAUUUCAAGAUAUCUAAUGUAUAAUUAAAGGUUAGAAGAUCUGUAUUUUCUAAAUAUCCCCCAUUUCUAUUUAAAAUAAAUAUAACACAAAUCUAGCAGUAAUAAAUAUUCCUAGUACCAAUACUAAGAAUCAAAGGUUUCAGGUAAGUUUUUGUUUUGUUUUUUAGGUUUUCUUUUUUUAAGAUUUAUCUAUUAGGUAUACAGCAUUCUGCCUGCAUGUAUGCCUACAGGUCAGAGGAGGACACAAGAUCUUGUUAUAGAUGGUUAUGAGCCACCAUGGUUGCUGGGAACUGAACUCAGGACAUCUGGAAGAGCAGUCAGUGCUCUUAACCACUGAGCCAUCUCUCCAGCCCUUCCCCUAAGAUUACCUCAUGUCUUAGUUUCCUAGAAGAAGCAUAUCUAGGAAAUAACAGAUAGACAGUGUGCCUCUGUUCGGAGCUACCUGAAUUUGGUUUGCUUUCCAUUUGAAUGACUGGUUUGACAUGCAACCCCUCACAUGCCUGAAAGCAAUACCUGUGUUUGUUUUGGUCUUCUUUCACGUCAAGCCCGUGGUUUUUAUAUGCUUUGCCACUGUAGUAAAGCUGCUGGAAUUUAGUUCUUUAUGCUCUACCACAGGCCCUUAUACUCUUGAUCUGUGAAGUUGUCAUGGUGGUUAAGAAUAAUUCCUAGGGGAUAGAGUAUUCAACAGAGCUAUGCUUUAAAGAAAGGGGAAAAAAAGAAUAAAAGAAAGAAGCUCCACACAUUUUUUUAAAGUCUAAAUCAAAGAAUUAUGAAAUUGUAGGAGUGCUAAGGUUAUUAAAAGCUGACCUGGGGCUAAAGAUCUCGCUCAGUAAUAAAAGAGUAUACACUGCUCUUACAGAGAAUCAAAGUGCAGGGCCCAGCACUUAAGUCAGGCAUCUCUCAACUGCCUGCAGUUCCCGCUCCAUUCUGGGAUGUCAGAGGAAUCAGGAGAGCUGUGGUUUGAACAAGGAGAACACACUACUCAGCUGUAUUGGAAAUCAUUUGAUUAGGAGGCAGAAACCACAGAAGUCUCAACAAGAGAAGUUUGAUUUAAAAACCCAAUUAACUGUAGCAAGGGAUUAAAAAUGAAAGAAAGGGGGUCAUUACAUAGUUUUCUUGCUGUACGCUUAGAGGGUCGUAAUGCCCAAGGCCUGAAUUGUGUUCUCCUGCCCAAGUUUACACGUUGAAAUCCUAAUUCGCAUCCCACCCCCAUAGCUGUAUGUGGAGAUGUUUCUCAAUGAGGUGAUUAAGGUAACAUGAGCUACUAGGAUAGGCCCUCAUCUGCUCUUCCUGGUGUCACUGGUCUUCUCUGCAGGGCUAAAAUAUGUUUUGAUUAAUUACAGUAUAGGUUCUCUUUUGGCAUUUUCAUAUGCUCUUGCUUUUGGUCGACCCUGCCGUCCACUUGCAUUCCAAGAGAAGGAAAUUUGAAGAAACACAUGCCCAAGGUUCUGCAGGGGCUAAGCAAGAAGGUGGCCGUCUAGAGAAGAAACUGAAGCUAAUGACCUUGAACUUAGAGGUGGAUUCUCUAGGACUAGGAGGAAAUGACUCUGUUGUUGAGGCUCCUCAGUGUUUAUGGAAGCAGCUAAGAGCUACUACAACAAAGGGACACACACAUAGGAGGGAAGGCUCUGCCUGCCACAAGUGACAUUGAGACCCCAUUGAAUCCUGGUCUUAUUCAAAGUUGGCACCACCUAAGUAGACAACCCCAUUCCAUGUUUCAGACAACUUGAUUGGCAAACGACACCUCUUGGGAGUUUAGAUAGAGCUGUGGUGGCAUAUUUAUAGUGACGUGGACAGUGGGAACAUGAGCAUCUCCAUAUAAGGCAGGUGUACAUGUAAGUUCACAGUGACCCUGUUAGGAUGGCCAUGUUGGAGUUCUUGUGGGGGAAGGGUGGGGCUCUGAGCUUACUUCAGGCUUUCAUCUGGGGUGGAUCACCACUGUAUGUCUGCUGAGAACUCUGCUUAUAGCUCGGUGACAGGAUUAAGAGGAGGCACAUGGAGGAGUCUUAGAACCAGAAAGGAAAGCUCCUAGCACUGUCUCUCUAGUGUUUCCUAAGCCAAACAUAUUUACAACAAAAGGAAUACUGCUUGCUUCCUGUGUUCUCUGGCUUCACCUAAGAACAGUCAAUAAAUGAUGAAAUUGUAUCUGUGAGAGGAAAGAUUGAUGGUUUUGCAUCAAUUUUUCCCUUUUUCUGCAUAUUAACAAGCAUUAAAAAUUCAGAUUGCUUUGAUUUUUUUAAAAAAUCAUUCAGCUUUAGAAAGUAGGUUUAAGCUAACGAAUUUCCAAACUUGAAUUUUAAAAAGCCAUAUACAAAUUGAAUAUAUAUAUACAUAUAGACAUGUAUAUAUACACAUACACACACAUAUAUAUGUAUAUAUAUAUAUGCACAUAUAUAUACACACACACAUAUAUAUAUAAAUAAAUCUGAACACAUUUGUAGCACUAACUUCACUCUUGGUUUAAAUCACCUGUACUGGUAUUACUCUGAUAGAAUGUUUCACAAAUCUCAUUAAUGCUGAGCUAUGGCAGGAAAGUAAGAGUUACCAGGGUUCCCAUUAAUAGCUGGAAGAGUUCAGAUGAUCACUUUUUUUAUCUAGACAUCUUAAGGUUUCUAAGUCAACCUUGGUAAUGCAGUGGUUAUAGAAAAGAAUUAAUGGAACAAUAAAUUCUAAAUUCUAGCCUGUAUUUCCUGAUAGGAACCUUUUUACUUUUUUUUUUUUUUUUUUAUAUUCUGUGAGUGCACUAGUAUGGAACAAAUUGAUGUAAGUCAAAUUAUUUUUAUUACCAUUUCUAAGUGUUUUUAUUCCAACACAGAAGCUAGGUAAUCACAAAACUGAUUUAUUCACUCAAAAGGGAGCACUAAUUCUGAAGCCCCAGAAAUAAAAAAAAAAAG
rnacentral:lncRNA from 1 species